rnacentral:tRNA from 1 species
GGCCCCGUAGCUCAACCGGAUAGAGCGGUGGACUUCUAAUCCACAGGUUGCAGGUUCGAUUCCUGCCGGGGUCGCCA